AUGCAUCUACUUGAAAGACCUGAAGCAGUUACUGUCUGCUUCUAAGGUUUCCAUUACAGAUGCAAGAACAAAGUUUCCUUGUGCUGUCUCUCUGAUUGCGGCAGCCAUGACUGAAUCGAGGAAUACAGAG
ensembl:snoRNA